rnacentral:rRNA from 1 species
AGUCAGAUGUGAAAGCCCGGGGCUCAACCUCGGAAUAGCAUUUGAAACUGGCAGACUAGAGUACUGUAGAGGGGGUAGAAUUUCAGGUGUAGCGGUGAAAUGCGUAGAGAUCUGAAGGAAUACCGGUGGCGAAGGCGGCCCCCUGGACAGAUACUGACACUCAGAUGCGAAAGCGUGGGGAGCAAACAGGAUUAGAUACCCUGGUAGUCCACGCCGUAAACGAUGUCUACUUGGAGGUUGUGGCCUUGAGCCGUGGCUUUCGGGACUAACGCGUUAAGUAGACCGCCUGGGGAGUACGGUCGCAAGAUUAAAACUCAAAUGAAUUGACGGGGGCCCGCACAAGCGGUGGAGCAUGUGGUUUAAUUCGAUGCAACGCGAAGAACCUUACCUACUCUUGACAUCCAGAGAACUUUCCAGAGAUGGAUUGGUGCUUCGGGAACUCUGAGACAGGUGCUGCAUGGCUGUCGUCAGCUCGUGUUGUGAAAUGUUGGGUUAAGUCCCGCAACGAGCGCAACCCUUAUCCUUGUUUGCCAGCACUUCGGGUGGGAACUCCAGGGAGACUGCCGGUGAUAAACCGGAGGAAGGUGGGGACGACGUCAAGUCAUCACGGCCCUUACGAGUAGGGCUACACACGUGCUACAAUGGCGCAUACAGAGGGCAGCCAACUUGCGAGAGUGAGCGAAUCCCAAAAAGUGCGUCGUAGUCCGGAUCGGAGUCUGCAACUCGACUCCGUGAAGUCGGAAUCGCUAGUAAUCGUGGAUCAGAAUGCCWCGGUGAAUACGUUCCDGGYCYUGUACACACCGCCCGUCACACCAUGGGAGUGGGCUGCAAAAGAAGUAGGUAGUUUAACUUCGGGAGGACGCUUACCACUUUGUGGUUCAUGACUGGGGUGAAGUCGUAACAAGGUAGCCAAUCACUA